rnacentral:rRNA from 1 species
AGGGAAGGAGGGAGGCAGGCCUAACACAUGCAAGUCGAGCGGAUGAAGGGAGCUUGCUCCUGGAUUCAGCGGCGGACGGGUGAGUAAUGCCUAGGAAUCUGCCUGGUAGUGGGGGAUAACGUCCGGAAACGGGCGCUAAUACCGCAUACGUCCUGAGGGAGAAAGUGGGGGAUCUUCGGACCUCACGCUAUCAGAUGAGCCUAGGUCGGAUUAGCUAGUUGGUGGGGUAAAGGCCUACCAAGGCGACGAUCCGUAACUGGUCUGAGAGGAUGAUCAGUCACACUGGAACUGAGACACGGUCCAGACUCCUACGGGAGGCAGCAGUGGGGAAUAUUGGACAAUGGGCGAAAGCCUGAUCCAGCCAUGCCGCGUGUGUGAAGAAGGUCUUCGGAUUGUAAAGCACUUUAAGUUGGGAGGAAGGGCAGUAAGUUAAUACCUUGCUGUUUUGACGUUACCAACAGAAUAAGCACCGGCUAACUUCGUG